AGGACGAACGCUGGCGGUGUGCUUCACACAUGCAAGUCGAACGGGGAUAGCAAUAUUCUAGUGGCGGACGGGUGAGUAACGCGUGGGAAUCUGCCAUGGGGUGGGGGAUAGCAGACCGAAAAGGUCUAUUAAUACCGCAUAUGCCGAGAGGUAAAAGGAGUAAUCCGCCCGAUGAUGAGCCUGCGUCCGAUUAGCUUGUUGGUGGGGUAAAAGCCUACCAAGGCUACGAUCGGUAGCUGGUCUGAGAGGAUGAUCAGCCACAAUGGGACUGAGACACGGCCCAUACUCCUACGGGAGGCAGCAGUGGGGAAUUUUACGCAAUGGGGGAAACCCUGACGUAGCGACACCGCGUGAACGAAGAAGCCUUUUGGGGUGUAAAGUUCUGUCGGCUGGGACGAAUAAAUGACGGUACCAGCAAAGGAAGCAUCGGCUAACUACGUGCCAGCAGCCGC
rnacentral:rRNA from 1 species